UGGGUAACCUACCCUGUACACACGGAUAACAUACCGAAAGGUAUGCUAAUACGGGAUAAUAUAUUUGAGAGGCAUCUCUUGAAUAUCAAAGGUGAGCCAGUACAGGAUGGACCCGCGUCUGAUUAGCGAGUUGGUAAGGUAACGGCUUACCAAGGCGACGAUCAGUAGCCGACCUGAGAGGGUGAUCGGCCACAUUGGAACUGAGACACGGUCCAAACUCCUACGGGAGGCAGCAGUGGGGAAUAUUGCACAAUGGGCGAAAGCCUGAUGCAGCAACGCCGCGUGAGUGAUGAAGGCCUUCGGG
rnacentral:rRNA from 1 species